rnacentral:tmRNA from 1 species
GGGGCUGCACUGGUUUCGACGUGGAUUGGAAUCGCAGCGGUGCAUGUCGAGGUUCAGUCACCUCGUAAAACAGCUGAAACAAACUAACUGCAAACGACGAACGUUUCGCACUCGCCGCUUAAACACCGGUGAGCCUCGCAACAGCAUGCCGAUGGGCUGGGCAAGGGCGGCGCAAGCCGUCCCGGCUGCGAGGGCAUUUACAUCGGCUGGUUCGCGUCCGGGUGCCUUGGCCGCGAAUAAGAUCCAAGGGCACUGGCCACCUGCGUAGCGUGCGUCUGCGCGGCACGGGUGGCGAGAUUCAAAACAGAACGCUAAACAUGUAGAUCUGCGCGAGGAAGGUUUGCGGACGCGGGUUCAAUUCCCGCCAGCUCCACCA